AGCUAAGAUGACUUCCUGCUUCCUCAGGCUUCCUGGGAUGGAACCCGUACUUGAGCAGCUGUGCAGAGAUAGACCAACGUGAUGGUGGCUCCCUGAGACGGGCCACGCGGUUGCCGGGUAUGAGAAUGAGAAAGGAGGUCUGAGCAACCACACAUAAGUGACAAAGGUUCCCUUCUUGACCAGACUCUACUCAGGCUCCCCCACCCCCCAUAUCUGCUAACCCUCCACAUCCAACCGCCUUCUCCAUCCUCCACCACUCCCUCCCCCCUGCCGGGGCGUCUGCCUUCAGCAAGAAUCCUGCCAUGACGUCACUUUAGCCAGAGCCCCUGAUGCUCCUUUUAGGGACUCUCCAACUCCUGACGCCCCCCUGCUCCUGGGUUGGAGGUUCCCACUUGUCCAUGUCGUGUUCAGAGGUCAGUCUGAGUUCUCCCCUCGUCUGCGGGGACAAACGGGGUCUCAUGAUCCCACAGCAGUGGCCCCUGUACCCAUCCGAAGGCACCCUUGAAUAAAGUCUGCCUUUCCAUGCUUUAA